GACGAACGCUGGCGGCGUGCUUAACACAUGCAAGUCGAGCGGUAAGGCCCUUUCGGGGGUACACGAGCGGCGAACGGGUGAGUAACACGUGGGUGACCUACCCUCAGCUCUGGGAUAAGCCUGGGAAACCGGGUCUAAUACCGGAUAUGACUCCAUGACGCAUGUUGUGGGGUGGAAAGCCUUGUGCGGCUGAGGAUGGGCCCGCGGCCUAUCAGCUUGUUGGUGGGGUGAUGGCCUACCAAGGCGACGACGGGUAGCCGGCCUGAGAGGGCGACCGGCCACACUGGGACUGAGACACGGCCCAGACUCCUACGGGAGGCAGCAGUGGGGAAUCUUGCGCAAUGGGCGAAAGCCUGACGCAGCGACGCCGCGUGAGGGAUGACGGCCUCGG
rnacentral:rRNA from 1 species